UGGGUUGUAUCUCAGUGGUAGAUCUCUUGCCUAGCAUGUGUCAAGCACUGGGUUCAAUUCUCAGCAAUGCAU
rnacentral:tRNA from 1 species